rnacentral:rRNA from 1 species
CAGCAGCCGCGGGAAUACGAGGGGGGCAAGCGUUGUUCGGAAUUAUUGGGCGUAAAGGGCGCGUAGGCGGUUUGGCAAGUUUGGUGUGAAAUCUUCGGGCUCAACUCGAAGUCUGCAUCGAAAACUGCCGGGCUUGAAUAUGGGAGAGGUGAGUGGAAUUUCCGGUGUAGCGGUGAAAUGCGUAGAUAUCGGAAGGAACACCUGUGGCGAAAGCGGCUCACUGGACCAUAACUGACGCUGAGGCGCGAAAGCUAGGGGAGCAAACAGGAUUAGAUACCCCAGUAGUCCCUGUCUCUUAUAC